rnacentral:rRNA from 1 species
UUGACCUCGAUCAGUAGCUCCAAGA